rnacentral:tRNA from 1 species
GGAAAUAUGCCUGAAAUGAAAAAGGACCACUUUGAUAGAGUGGAUCAUGAGAGUUAAAACCCCCCUAUUUCCU